UUAUAUGGGGGCCUUGACCAGUGC
rnacentral:piRNA from 1 species